AAGAACGCUGGCGGCAGGCCUAAGACAUGCAAGUCGUACGCGAACGACCUUUCGGGGUUAAGUAGAGUGGCGAACGGGUUAGUAACGCGUGGGAACAUACACAGCACAGGGGGAUAACCAUUGGAAACGAUGGCUAAUACCGCAUACGCCCUAUUGGGGAAAGAUUUAUCGGUGUUGGAUUGGCCCGCGUUAGAUUAGCUAGUUGGUGGGGUAAUGGCUCACCAAGGCGACGAUUUAUAGCUGGUUUGAGAGGAUGAUCAGCAACACUGGAACUGAGACACGGUCCAGACUCCUACGGGAGGCAGCAGUCGGGAAUAUUGUGCAAUGGGGGCAACCCUGACACAGCCAUGCCGCGUGAGUGAAGAAGGCCUUAGGGUUGUAAAGCUCUUUCAGACGUGAGGAUGAUGACGAUAGCAUCAGAAGAAGCUCCGGCUAACUUCGUGCCAGCAGCCGCGGUAAUACGAAGGGAGCUAGCGUUGUUCGGAAUUACUGGGCGUAAAGGGCGUGUACGCGGAUUAUCAAGUUAGGGGUGAAAUCCCGGGG
rnacentral:rRNA from 1 species